ensembl:lncRNA
AAGAGAGAGGGUCUGGAGAAAGACAGCAUGGUGGGAGAGGCAGUCCUGGCAAACAGGGAGAAAGUCCAGAGAGGGGAAGACAGCAGGAAAGGAGGAGAAAUAAAACACAGGAAAGCGAGUUAGACAUGCACUUGGUUUGAUGUUGAGUAAUGGACACGGCUUGCACCGGGCUGUCCCUUGUCUGAGGAGUCUCGUAGCUUCAACGCAGGUUAUCUGCGGUGCUGAAAUGAAAUGCUGCCUGUGUGGUUAACCAUUAUUCAUAUUUCUCCAAUUGCUCUAAUCCUUAACUCUUUAAAGGUUUGAUUCUGAGCAGCUCCCUACAGCAGAAAUUAUCUUCAAGAUGCCUCAUUAGGUCAGUACUAUCUUGAUCUUGUCCCUUGAGUUCAAAGUUUCUUGCUCCUUCAAUACAAGAUAGAGUUCAGAUUCCUUAGCCUGGAAUCUAAGGGCUUCCCAGAUCCAUCUCUGCUCAUCGCCCAUGUCACCCCAGCAGAAGUCAGCUGCUCCCACAAGGCCAGGCUGCUCUUUCUCCUGCGACUUUGGUGCUGUCCCCUCCUUUCUGGGAUCUGCUUCUUCUCUACGUUCCUUCUUUGGGGUCUUGCCCAAAACUCACCUCUUUCAUGUUCUCUGAUCUUUCCAGCCUAUGGCAAUCUUUUUCUCCACUGAAAUCUUACAACAUCCAUGGUUUGUACCAUUAAUUUGGCACUUACCCACAUAUGACAUUGCCCUUUUUUUGCUAGUGCCAACUGAAUUGUGGCUCCUUGAGGGCAAAGUCAGGUCUUAGCUGUCUUAUAAGAUAGUACUCAGCAAAGUAUCCUGUCAGAUGUCGAGAAUCCAAAGGGGGACCUCGGGCACAUCUGUAAAUGAUCUCAGCCUCAAAUCGUUCAUCCGUAAAAUGGAAAUAAUGCUAGUUCCCUACUAGGGUGAGAGUUAAGGGAGAUUAUGAAUACAAAAGAAAUUUGCGCAGUACCAGCACAGAGAAAUGGAUUCUAAAAUGCUAAUUUUUCCAGUAAUAAUAGUUGUUAGUUAUUAAUUUAACAAUAGAUUAACAUUUUAUUUGCCAUCAUUAUAAUUAUAAUCCCUAUUAUUUGAUCAAUUCAGAAAAGAGAAAGUAAUUUAAGAGCUUGUUUUUUCUUUUGAAUUCCAGAAUUUAACUUCUUUGUCCUUUCUUUAGAUUUCAUGUGCAUUCUCUAGCUGGUCAAUUGAUGGUCAUUUGGCAGGCUUUGACAAAGUCUAUUUUGUAUGCUGGAGAUGCCUAUACCAAAUCACCUGUCAGAAAUUUUAGCAAAAGUUGUGAUCCAAUUUAUCUACUGUAUUGAUAAGCUCUUUUACUUCAUCAAAGUGGAAAAAUAACCUAAUCCAGUUAUUAGGUAACAGCCAGAUUACCUAAUAGAUCACUGAUAGGCUCCUGUAAUUUGGGAUAUCUAAGGUAACUUCAGGUACAGCUCGAUCAAGAGUCGAAUGACGUUGUGGCUCUCUUUUUCUCUUUGCAGUUGGCCUCAUCUCUUUCCUUUGCAGAUGGGCUUCUCCAUUCAGCCAGGGAAGACAUCUCCUGCAGCUCCAAUUUUACUGCUUCAGCCGAAGUCCUAUGACCUCACUGCUGUAGCUUGGGCAUUGUGGACUAAUCACUAUGCUCUCACUGGCCGCAUCUGAGUCACAUGCCCAUUCUUGUUAUUUUGUGGGCUGGGGACGGCUCCACCUGAACCACAAGGACCAAGAAUGAGGAAGUGGUGAUAUCUCAAAGGAAAAUCAGGAUGCUUUUACCAGUUGAAGGCGGAUUGGAUACCCAACAGGCCUAAACUCCAGGUGUUCACACAUCCACCUUGCUACCCAGGUAGCCAUUUAUAUUUCUACUCAGUAGCAACUUCUCUUCACUGUUUGGAAUAUGGGAAGAGUCUUAUUCAGAGUUCUUGGCCUAGCCAGGUUCUGGUUAGUGUUUGGCAUUUUGUCAAUGAAACCAGGUACAAAAAGACCUUUUCCUGAGUCUCUGUUUCCCACUCUGCCUCUUCACAGAGGCCGGGUGGGGAGGAGUCCAGGGAUUAUUAUAGCCAGGGUGGAAGAGAAGAUGACCCUGACGUGGGCUUUAGAAGCAAGAGCGUCUGAGCUCUGCUUUCCCCCACGCAGACUGCUGGGCCUGUCUCUUCCCAUUGUUCUGAGAAAGCAAGAGUUCUAUGGUUUCCAUGGCAACCACCAGCUUGGGCCAUUUAACCAGCAGUGACUUCAUUUCCCAGGUCAGGGCUGGCUGGGUCCUUGUCUCAUAUUCUGUUACACAGCCGGGGCCAUCGCCACAGCUCCGUCAGGGAGUUUCCGCCUCAGUUGAAUGCUGGUCAGACUUUCCCACCAUUGCCCACUCCACGAGCCUUCUCUGGCCUGGACCUCAUACCAUUUCUUCUUCCCAAAGACCACGAUUGCCUGAGGAUGCUGCCACAACAUGGCUUGAUACGUGGUGUGUACGUCUGCACCCAGGAUCCAACCCUGCAAACUCCAGGCUGCUGAAGUGGAGCGCGUGAACUCAACCACUACACCACCAGGCCGGCCUCUCUAUUCAGCUAAUUUUUAUUUAAUGUGUAAUACGGGCAAAGGGUUAGGCUAAGUGCUGUUUGGAUACAAAGGAAAAUAAGAUGCAAUGGAACUUAUAGAGCCAGCAAAUGGCUGGGCUAGGCUAUACUGCAGUCACAGACGACUCCCCAGUCUCAGGGGCUUAAGACCACAAAGGCUUAUCUCUCACUCACAUUUUAUGUCCUUCAUGUCUCUGCUCUAUGUCAUCUUUAUUCCAGGACACAGGCUAAAGGAACAGACUAUUUCUUGGAUGUGCUAAUCUGGGGAUGCUUUUCCAGUAGAGGAAAGAACAAGAUGGUGGAACCACAUCAUGGGUCUUAAAGCUUCUGAUUUGAAGUGGCCUAUGUCAUUUCUGCUUACAUUUCACUGAACAAGCGCAAGUUAGAAGACCAAACUUGACAUGAUUGGGACAAAGAGUGGCAUCCCACAGGGGCAUUUCUUGGACUAAUAAUCCAUUUGUAACAGGAGAAGAAGGAACCCACUAUCAGCGGACUGGAUAUGUGGACAGACACAAAAUUAUAUUUCAGAUUUUUCUCAACUAAUGGUUGAAAAAUGGUAUCUCAGUGUAAUUUUAAUUCAUAUUUCACUUAUUAUGAGUGAGGAUGAGUAUCUCUUAUGUUUCCAUGUCUCCAUUUCCAUUUCAGGGGGCUGUUUUUAUUUAUACCCUAUGCCUAUUUUUCUACUGGGUUUUGGGUCCCUCCCUCCCUUUCUUCCUUCCUUCCUUCUUUUCUUUCUUUUGCUGAGGAAGACUUGCUCUGAGCUGACAUCCAUGCCAAUCUUCCUCUAUUAUUUGCUUUAGUAUGUGGGCCGCCAGCACAGCACGGCCACUAAUAGAACAGUGUAGGUCCACACCCAGGAACCAAACCAAGACCACCAAAGUGGAACGUGCUGAACUUAACCGCUAGGCCACCAGGGCUGAUCUUGGGUCUUUUUCUAAUUGGUUUCUAGGGAAGGUUAAGAAGGAUUUUGUUGGUCAGGGCUGGGAUGAGGAAUUCUGCCAGAACUGUGCCAGGUACCAGGGACAGACGGACACAGUCCUUGGACCACGUAGCUCCCAUUCUGUGGGAAUGGCACUAGCCUACAACAAGCAAAAAGAUUCCUCUUUUUCAAGUAUUUGGGAAAUAGCAACAGUUCAAGUCAUGGGGCUUAGGGUUCAUGGCGGACCUUGGCAGGACCACGGUCCCAUCCUGGGCAAAGACAAAUUCUUAGUGUCUUAGGUCAGGCUCCCUAGAAGCGGCCUCUGAGAUGGUGAUUCUUUUUCAAGUGAUUUUUUUCAGAGUCACCUCAGGAGAUGAUGAGCAAGAGAACCAGGACAGGUCAAAGGAGGAAAAUUAAACAAGAAUGUGGACUCCAUGGGAGACUAGCUUCAGUCUGGCCCCCUGGGGAAGCUCUGGAGCAUGAACUGCACCACAGAGCUGUCAUCCCUCCACUGAGAGAGGCAACUUGCCCUUUGUACGUCAAGUCAGCAAGUCAUUGGCUGAGGUCUGGGGAGGAAUGGGGAGGGCAGCACUUCUAGGUCAAGAUGUCCUUGGUUUGGCUGAGGGCAGUUCUCUGGAGAAGGGGGCAGCUGUGAACCAUUAGCAGCCACCACUCACAGCAGCUGAGGGACAGGGGCACCAAGCCCUAAAGGGAAUUUGUGUGGGACACCAACAGCUUCCAUUAUGUAUCGUGGGAUCCAGGGUUCCCCCAAGAAUCCAGCAGUAUCUGCCAGUGUAUAAGUCCAACUAUGUACUUGAAUGUCCCUUAAAAAUGUCCCCAAAUAGCAAGCAAAAAGGUUUUCAACAAAAGCUAAUGGAUACAGCCCAGAAACAUAAUUGUGAAACUCAUGAAUCAGGGUUUGACUUGUGGUUCUGUCGUCUAGGAUAAUCACGUCAUCCUGAGCGAGACACCCUGCUGGGAGCCAAGUGUUAGUUUAUGAACAUUUUGAUUAUUUUUGAGUCCCAGCUGCAAAAUGCCAGAAGCUUGACUCGUCAAAUACAUCACUUACUUAUGGGCAGUAAUGGCUCCAAUGAUGGUGGCAGAGUUUAGCUCAAGCAAAUAUUUAUAAUUGACAAUGAAUGUGUGAGCAGGAUGCUAAUGAAUGGAUGUGCCAGUUAUUUUCCCCUGCUACAAACAUUAGCGCUUGUUUGGUUUCACUGUCAAACUGACACUAUAGAUUAGAAAUGACAGAAUGCUGGCAAAGAGCCACAGUGAAGAAGAAUAUCAAGAAAAUUUGCAAAUUAUGUAACAUUUGAUACUUCUAUUUCCAAAUAUAAAUUGUCUGUGGGUGUUAAUAGGAGGUUGUGGCUUAAUUAUAGGCCUAAAUGGAAAAUACUGAGAUUUACAAAAACAUUCAUUUUAGAAGAGGAAGCCAAGCUGACGCCAUCUUGGAUUCAGCUGCUGCUUGCCUUUCCAUUUUCAUGCCGCCAAAGCAGAGUUCAGCACAACAGAAACAGAUGGAAGGAGAGUUUCAGAAGAGAUGGGAUUUUAAAGCCCCAGUCUGUUAGGAAGCAGCCCUGUUUUCUCAUUCCCAUGGAAACAAAAAGUCCUGGGGACCUGCAGACAUGACAGGAAUCCACGACUUCUCUGCUACUGCUGCCCUCUGUCUGAGUCCAAGGAAAUGGAUUCCAGGUCCUGCUUCUGUUUGAUCAAGGGGACAUACCCAGCCACUUCUUCCCCAUGCCUUUCUGCCCGCCAUUCAUUUAUUGAUCUUGAUAUUAUACCACAUCAUGUUAAUUUCCUUUUUGGUUCUCCUUGGAGCCGGAGAGCUUUAUAACUGGAAGGUCCACAGAAAUCAUCUAGCCCAAACAAACUACAUAGCGCAUGAGAAAAUGGAAGCCUGGAGACGUGAUGUUGAGGUAGAGACAGGUUGGAGCUCAGGGUUGCAGCUCCCAGCCCAGACUGUUUUGUAUCAACUUUGCUUUCUCCUUGUAGCAUGCGCAUUUCACCAGAUGACAGGGGUCCUCUGAGCUCCUGACAUGUCACCAGCUGGAAGGGCCCUGACAUCACGCUGGCCCUCCAUUGCUACUCUGCACCCCCAGGCACAUGUGCCCCACCCCUGUUCAUGGCUUCAACUGUAAACAACUCAAGAUUCUCAUGUAAAUUGUUAACUCCAAGACAUGCUUACUACACAACAGUUAAAUUCAGAUGUGUCUGAAUCCAAUUUGGACUAAAUGAAGGUAAGCCCACUGCAACUCUGUGGAUGAUGGCAAUACCCCAGGAGAUGGUGAAGGAGCAAGAUGUUAGGAGCUGGAUCCCUGAAUGACUGUGUGGAGCACUGCUACUCUGCCGGCUCUGUGCCUCUCACCUCUGGACUGCUUUAGGAGAAAAACUCUAAUUUAAGGCAAUCUGUUUUAUUUGCUAAUAAAUAAACAGGUUUUUUGUUGUUGU